rnacentral:rRNA from 1 species
GACGAACGCUGGCGGCGUGCUUAACACAUGCAAGUCGAACGGUAAGGCCCUUCGGGGUACACGAGUGGCGAACGGGUGAGUAACACGUGGGUGAUCUGCCCUACACUUCGGGAUAAGCCUGGGAAACUGGGUCUAAUACCGGAUAGGACUCCGGACUGCAUGGUCUGGGGUGGAAAGCUUUUGCGGUGUGGGAUGGGCCCGCGGCCUAUCAGCUUGUUGGUGGGGUGAUGGCCUACCAAGGCGAUGACGGGUAGCCGGCCUGAGAGGGUGACCGGCCACACUGGGACUGAGAUACGGCCCAGACUCCUACGGGAGGCAGCAGUGGGGAAUAUUGCACAAUGGGCGCAAGCCUGAUGCAGCGACGCCGCGUGAGGGAUGACGGCCUUCGGGUUGUAAACCUCUUUCAGCAUCGACGAAGCGAAAGUGACGGUAGGUGCAGAAGAAGGACCGGCCAACUACGUGCCAGCCGCCGCUGUAA